CUUCGUCUAGUGGCCUAGGACACCGCCCUUUCACGGCGGUAACAGGGGUUCGAGUCCCCUAG
rnacentral:tRNA from 2 species